UACGUAGGGUGCGAGCGUUAAUCGGAAUUACUGGGCGUAAAGCGUGCGCAGGCGGUUUUGCAAGCCGGAUGUGAAAUCCCCGGGCUCAACCUGGGAAUGGCAUUUGGGACUGCAAGGCUUGAGUGCGGCAGAGGAGACUGGAAUUCCUGGUGUAGCAGUGAAAUGCGUAGAUAUCAGGAGGAAUACCGAUGGCGAAGGCAGCCCCCUGGGAUAACACUGACGCUCAUGCACGAAAGCGUGGGGAGCAAACAGG
rnacentral:rRNA from 1 species